rnacentral:rRNA from 1 species
GAUGAACGCUGGCGGCGUGCCUAAUACAUGCAAGUCGAGCGAACAGAUGAGGAGCUUGCUCCUCUGACGUUAGCGGCGGACGGGUGAGUAACACGUGGAUAACCUACCUAUAAGACUGGGAUAACUUCGGGAAACCGGAGCUAAUACCGGAUAAUAUAUUGAACCGCAUGGUUCAAUAGUGAAAGACGGUUUUGCUGUCUCUUAUAGAUGGAUCCGCGCCGCAUUAGCUAGUUGGUAAGGUAACGGCUUACCAAGGCAACGAUGCGUAGCCGACGUGAGAGGGUGGUCGGCCACCCUGGAACUGGGACACGGUCCAGACUCCUACGGGAGGCAGCAGUAGGGAAUCUUCCGCAAUGGGCGAAAGCAUGACGGAGCAACGCCGCGUGAGUGAUGGAGGUCUUCGGAUCGUAAAACUCUGUUAUUAGGGAAGAACAAAUGUGUAAGUAACUAUGCACGUCUUGACGGUACCUAAUCAGAAAGCCACGGCUAACUACGUG